AUUUUAAGAUUCAUUCUAAUUGUUGAGACCAGUUAUGUGCCAGACACUAAAAUAAAUGAAGUUCUAGGGUGUUUUCCCCCCAUCCUUUUUGGCCCACAGUUUUGACUAGAUAUAACAGGAGAUAACACACACAGCCCACAGACCAUAAAUUUUAUUGGAACACAGCUACUUUAUUCAUUUAUGUAUUGUCUGUGGCUGCUUUUACACUGCAGUACAAAGUUGAGAGUUGCAACAAGACAAUAUAGCCUGCAAACCUAAAAUAUUUACUAUCUACGUCUUGAGAAGAAAGUUUGUCAAUGUCUGAUAUAAAACAUUAACAUGUUUCUUAAAGUGAAAACUAUACAAAAAGGUAUAAUCUGAAAAAUGUCAUAUUCUUUGAUAUUUCUUCUAUCCCAUUUUCCACCCCAUCCCUUGUUUUUUGGUUUAUUCUUUCCUGUGUUUCUUUUUAUAAAAAUAAGCAGGCAUACAUGUUUUAUUUCGCCUUUUUCUUAUACAAAAGGUAGCACACUAUGUGUGCUCUUUUAUGCUUUGCUUUUUUUCAUUUAACACUACCUUCUGGAAGUCACUCUGUAUCAAUUUAAGAGAUAUUUCUCAUUAUUACAGCUACAUAGUUCUGUAUUAUGUAUAUAUACUACAGUCUGUUCAACUAGUCUUCUAUGAUUGGACAUCUAGGUAAUUUCCAGUAUUUUGCAAUUUCAAAUAUUACCACAAUAAAUGUGUGUGUGUAUGUAUGUGUGUAUGUGUGUGUAUGCUCAUAUAAAUGAAAUUGUGUUUUCAAGAUAAAUACCUAGAAGUGAGAAUGCUGGGUCAAAGGCUAAAUGUGUGUGUGUAUUUAUGUGUGUGUUAGAUAUUGCCAAAUUCCCAUCCAUAAGGUUUGUACCAUUUUUCAUUCCCACCAGCAAUUUCUCCAUGAAGGUUGCUGUCCAAAUUUUGCCAAGUAAUGACAUUAAAAUAUUCUUCUCAUCUAUUAUCACCAUCAUUUAAAAAAGAAUUUCUCCCAUUUUUAUAAGGGAGAAAGGACAAAUCAGAAAAAAAGGAUAGGAAGAGUCCUUUAAAUUGUGUAAAUAUAGUUCUUAUUGUGAUUAUUUUUCUCUUGUUGUUGAAGACAAAUGCAUCUCUACCCUGUAUCAGAUGAAUCUUUACUUGAUCAUGUCUCUCCUACCUUGAAAUUCUUCAAGGCUUUCCACAACUCAGCACUUAACAUGGUCUUAACAUGGCCUAUAAGAAUAUAUAAGAUGUCAGCCCUGUAUCUCCAGCCAUUCUGAAUGUUUUAAUCCUUUUAGUAUCCAAGUUCUCUCCCACAGGGUCUUUGCCUGUGGUGCUCUCCUUGCCACCAUUAAAUAACUAGACAAG